UUGUAGCUCAGCUGGAUAGAGCAACUGCCUUCUAAGCCGUAGGUCGGGAGUUCGAAUCUCUCCA
rnacentral:tRNA from 3 species